GGGUUGUGAGGUUAAGCGACUAAGCGUACACGGUGGAUGCCCUGGCAGUCAGAGGCGAUGAAGGACGUGCUAAUCUGCGAUAAGCGUCGGUAAGGUGAUAUGAACCGUUAUAACCGGCGAUUUCCGAAUGGGGAAACCCAGUGUGAUUCGUCACACUAUCAUUAACUGAAUCCAUAGGUUAAUGAGGCGAACCGGGGGAACUGAAACAUCUAAGUACCCCGAGGAAAAGAAAUCAACCGAGAUUCCCCCAGUAGCGGCGAGCGAACGGGGAGCAGCCCAGAGCCUGAAUCAGUGUGUGUGUUAGUGGAAGCGUCUGGAAAGGCGCGCGAUACAGGGUGACAGCCCCGUACACAAAAAUGCACAUGCUGUGAGCUCGAUGAGUAGGGCGGGACACGUGGUAUCCUGUCUGAAUAUGGGGGGACCAUCCUCCAAGGCUAAAUACUCCUGACUGACCGAUAGUGAACCAGUACCGUGAGGGAAAGGCGAAAAGAACCCCGGCGAGGGGAGUGAAAAAGAACCUGAAACCGUGUACGUACAAGCAGUGGGAGCCUCUUUAUGGGGUGACUGCGUACCUUUUGUAUAAUGGGUCAGCGACUUAUAUUCUGUAGCAAGGUUAACCAAAUAGGGGAGCCGAAGGGAAACCGAGUCUUAACUGGGCGUUAAGUUGCAGGGUAUAGACCCGAAACCCGGUGAUCUAGCCAUGGGCAGGUUGAAGGUUGGGUAACACUAACUGGAGGACCGAACCGACUAAUGUUGAAAAAUUAGCGGAUGACUUGUGGCUGGGGGUGAAAGGCCAAUCAAACCGGGAGAUAGCUGGUUCUCCCCGAAAGCUAUUUAGGUAGCGCCUCGUGAAUUCAUCUCCGGGGGUAGAGCACUGUUUCGGCAAGGGGGUCAUCCCGACUUACCAACCCGAUGCAAACUGCGAAUACCGGAGAAUGUUAUCACGGGAGACACACGGCGGGUGCUAACGUCCGUCGUGAAGAGGGAAACAACCCAGACCGCCAGCUAAGGUCCCAAAGUCAUGGUUAAGUGGGAAACGAUGUGGGAAGGCCCAGACAGCCAGGAUGUUGGCUUAGAAGCAGCCAUCAUUUAAAGAAAGCGUAAUAGCUCACUGGUCGAGUCGGCCUGCGCGGAAGAUGUAACGGGGCUAAACCAUGCACCGAAGCUGCGGCAGCGACGCUUAUGCGUUGUUGGGUAGGGGAGCGUUCUGUAAGCCUGCGAAGGUGUACUGUGAGGUAUGCUGGAGGUAUCAGAAGUGCGAAUGCUGACAUAAGUAACGAUAAAGCGGGUGAAAAGCCCGCUCGCCGGAAGACCAAGGGUUCCUGUCCAACGUUAAUCGGGGCAGGGUGAGUCGACCCCUAAGGCGAGGCCGAAAGGCGUAGUCGAUGGGAAACAGGUUAAUAUUCCUGUACUUGGUGUUACUGCGAAGGGGGGACGGAGAAGGCUAUGUUGGCCGGGCGACGGUUGUCCCGGUUUAAGCGUGUAGGCUGGUUUUCCAGGCAAAUCCGGAAAAUCAAGGCUGAGGCGUGAUGACGAGGCACUACGGUGCUGAAGCAACAAAUGCCCUGCUUCCAGGAAAAGCCUCUAAGCAUCAGGUAACAUCAAAUCGUACCCCAAACCGACACAGGUGGUCAGGUAGAGAAUACCAAGGCGCUUGAGAGAACUCGGGUGAAGGAACUAGGCAAAAUGGUGCCGUAACUUCGGGAGAAGGCACGCUGAUAUGUAGGUGAAGCGACUUGCUCGUGGAGCUGAAAUCAGUCGAAGAUACCAGCUGGCUGCAACUGUUUAUUAAAAACACAGCACUGUGCAAACACGAAAGUGGACGUAUACGGUGUGACGCCUGCCCGGUGCCGGAAGGUUAAUUGAUGGGGUUAGCGGCAACGCGAAGCUCUUGAUCGAAGCCCCGGUAAACGGCGGCCGUAACUAUAACGGUCCUAAGGUAGCGAAAUUCCUUGUCGGGUAAGUUCCGACCUGCACGAAUGGCGUAAUGAUGGCCAGGCUGUCUCCACCCGAGACUCAGUGAAAUUGAACUCGCUGUGAAGAUGCAGUGUACCCGCGGCAAGACGGAAAGACCCCGUGAACCUUUACUAUAGCUUGACACUGAACAUUGAGCCUUGAUGUGUAGGAUAGGUGGGAGGCUUUGAAGUGUGGACGCCAGUCUGCAUGGAGCCGACCUUGAAAUACCACCCUUUAAUGUUUGAUGUUCUAACGUUGGCCCCUUAUCGGGGUUGCGGACAGUGUCUGGUGGGUAGUUUGACUGGGGCGGUCUCCUCCUAAAGAGUAACGGAGGAGCACGAAGGUUGGCUAAUCCUGGUCGGACAUCAGGAGGUUAGUGCAAUGGCAUAAGCCAGCUUGACUGCGAGCGUGACGGCGCGAGCAGGUGCGAAAGCAGGUCAUAGUGAUCCGGUGGUUCUGAAUGGAAGGGCCAUCGCUCAACGGAUAAAAGGUACUCCGGGGAUAACAGGCUGAUACCGCCCAAGAGUUCAUAUCGACGGCGGUGUUUGGCACCUCGAUGUCGGCUCAUCACAUCCUGGGGCUGAAGUAGGUCCCAAGGGUAUGGCUGUUCGCCAUUUAAAGUGGUACGCGAGCUGGGUUUAGAACGUCGUGAGACAGUUCGGUCCCUAUCUGCCGUGGGCGCUGGAGAACUGAGGGGGGCUGCUCCUAGUACGAGAGGACCGGAGUGGACGCAUCACUGGUGUUCGGGUUGUCAUGCCAAUGGCACUGCCCGGUAGCUAAAUGCGGAAGAGAUAAGUGCUGAAAGCAUCUAAGCACGAAACUUGCCCCGAGAUGAGUUCUCCCUGACCCUUUAAGGGUCCUGAAGGAACGUUGAAGACGACGACGUUGAUAGGCCGGGUGUGUAAGCGCAGCGAUGCGUUGAGCUAACCGGUACUAAUGAACCGUGAGGCUUAACCUUACAACGCCGAAGGUGUUU
rnacentral:rRNA from 1 species